rnacentral:ncRNA from 1 species
UUAAAGUUUUUUUGCUUUGGGGUUUCAAAAAAAUUUGGGCUAUAUGCAAGCGUUGGCAUAAUAAAAAAUGGGUUUAAAUAAUAAAAUGGGGGUACGAUAGGGCAGUUGCUAAAAUUAAAUAUUCGGGGGGCCGAGAUAUAGCAGGGGGUUAUAGUACAAACAAAAUUUGUGCCAGCAGUUGCGGUUACACAAAUUGUGCGAUGAAAUUUUAUUGGGAGUAGUAAAUUAGUAUAAUAAAUGGAUUUGAUGGGGUUUUAGUGGGUGAAAUUUUAAAAUUUGUAAAAUUUAUUUAAAUUGGGGGUGAGGCUAAUAAAUUUUACAAAAAACUAGGAUUAGAUACCCUACUAUAAAAAUUAUAUUUAAAACCUAAAUUAUUACUAGAUAGGUUCUUUAAAGUUAAGAAAGAUGGCGGUAUUUUAGUCUAUUCAGAGGAAUCUGCCCUGUAAUUGAUAUUCCACGAUUUAGGUUACUUGGGGUUUUAGCUUACAUAUCGCUGUGGUUUGAAUAUUUUUAUUGAAUUUUAAUAUUCGAGAUUCUGGGGGGAGGGAUAUCAAGUCAAGAUGUAGCUUAUGCCUAAGGAGAGGUGGAUUACAAUGGUUUAUUUGUGGUUGGGGGCCUGUAAUGGCUUCUAUAAAGAGGAUUUGAUAGUAAUUUUUUAUUAAAAUUUAAAAAGUGAUUUUAGCUCUAAAAUAUGUACAUAUCGCCCGUCGCUUUCACUAUAAAGUGAAAUAAGUCGUAACAUAGUAGGUGUACUGGAAAGUGUUUCUAGAAUGCA